rnacentral:rRNA from 1 species
UGGGGAAUAUUGCACAAUGGGCGCAAGCCUGAUGCAGCCAUGCCGCGUGUAUGAAGAAGGCCUUCGGGUUGUAAAGUACUUUCAGCGGGGAGGAAGGGAGUAAAGUUAAUACCUUUGCUCAUUGACGUUACCCGCAGAAGAAGCACCGGCUAACUCCGUGCCAGCAGCCGCGGUAAUACGGAGGGUGCAAGCGUUAAUCGGAAUUACUGGGCGUAAAGCGCACGCAGGCGGUUGAUUGAGUCAGAUGUGAAAUCCCCGGGCUUAACCCGGGAAUUGCAUCUGAUACUGGUCAGCUAGAGUCUUGUAGAGGGGGGUAGAAUUCCAUGUGUAGCGGUGAAAUGCGUAGAGAUGUGGAGGAAUACCGGUGGCGAAGGCGGCCCCCUGGACAAAGACUGACGCUCAGGUGCGAAAGCGGGGGGAGCAAACAGG